rnacentral:rRNA from 1 species
AUUGAACGCUGGCGGCAGGCCUAACACAUGCAAGUCGAACGAGUGGCGGACGGGUGAGUAAUGUCUGGGAAACUGCCUGAUGGAGGGGGAUAACUACUGGAAACGGUAGCUAAUACCGCAUACCAUCAGAUGUGCCCAGAUGGGAUUAGCUAGUUGGUGGGGUAACGGCUCACCAAGGGGGCGAGCCCUAGCUGGUCUGAGAGGAUGACCCGCCCAACCGGAACUGGAGCCAGGUCCGACACCCAACGGGGGGAGAACGGGGGGAAUAUUGCACAAUGGGCGCAAGCCUGCUGCAGACAGGCCGCGUGUAUGAGAAAGGCCUUCGGGUUGUAAGGUACUUUCGGCGGGGAGGCGUUACCCGCAGAAGAAGCACCGGCUAACUCCGUGCCAGCAGCCGCGGUAAUAC